rnacentral:rRNA from 1 species
AGCAGCCGCGGUAAUUCCAGCUCCAAUAGCGUAUAUUAAAGUUGUUGCAGUUAAAAGCUCGUAGUUGAAUUUCGGGAUCAAUUGAUCGGUCGUGCCUCUGGUACGCACUGGUUUUAUUGGUUUCUCCCUUCUGACGAACCAGGAUGUCAUUAAUUUGGUGUCUUGGAGAAUCAGGACUGUUACUUUGAAAAAUUGAGUGUUUAAAGCAGGCUAACGCUUGAAUACAUUAGCAUGGAAUAAUGAAAUAGGACGUUUGAUCCUAUUUUGUUGGUUUCUAGGAUCGACGUAAUGAUUAAUAGGGAUAGUUGGGGGCAUUAGUAUUCAAUUGUCAGAGGUGAAAUUCUUGGAUUUAUUGAAGACUAACUACUGCGAAAGCA